GCGAGUGUAGUACAGUGGCAGUAUGCCAGCUUCCCAAGCUGGAGAUACGGGUUCAAUUCCCGUCACUCGCACCA
rnacentral:tRNA from 2 species